rnacentral:rRNA from 1 species
AGUGAACGCUGGCGGUAGGCCUAACACAUGCAAGUCGAACGGCAGCACAGUAAGAGCUUGCUCUUACGGGUGGCGAGUGGCGGACGGGUGAGGAAUACAUCGGAAUCUACUUUUUCGUGGGGGAUAACGUAGGGAAACUUACGCUAAUACCGCAUACGACCUACGGGUGAAAGCAGGGGAUCUUCGGACCUUGCGCGAUUGAAUGAGCCGAUGUCGGAUUAGCUAGUUGGCGGGGUAAAGGCCCACCAAGGCGACGAUCCGUAGCUGGUCUGAGAGGAUGAUCAGCCACACUGGAACUGAGACACGGUCCAGACUCCUACGGGAGGCAGCAGUGGGGAAUAUUGGACAAUGGGCGCAAGCCUGAUCCAGCCAUACCGGGUGGGUGAAGAAGGCCUUCGGGUUGUAAAGCCCUUUUGUUGGGAAAGAAAAGCAGCAGGUUAAUACCCCGCUGUUCUGACGGUACCCAAAGAAUAAGCACCGGCUAACUUCGU